rnacentral:tRNA from 1 species
GGCUGCGUAGCUCAACUGAAUAGAGCAUCCCGACUUGGGUCGGGAAGGUUUCAGGUUUGAAUCCUGACGCAAUUA